rnacentral:rRNA from 1 species
GCCAGCAGCUAUAUCAGCCCACACCUUCACCACUGGCAGCCCACUGAAGCUCAGCAGGUGUGAGCCUGGCCAGUACCUGGAUGGGAGACCUCCUGGGAAAGCUAAGGUUGCUGCUGGAA